UACGUAGGGGGCAAGCGUUGUCCGGAAUCAUUGGGCGUAAAGAGCGUGUAGGCGGCCCGGUAAGUCCGCUGUGAAAGUCCAGGGCUCAACCCUGGGAUGCCGGUGGAUACUGUCGGGCUCGAAUCCGGAAGAGGUGAGUGGAAUUCCUGGUGUAGCGGUGAAAUGCGCAGAUAUCAGGAGGAACACCAAUGGCGAAGGCAGCUCACUGGGACGGUAUUGACGCUGAGACGCGAAAGCGUGGGGAGCAAACAGG
rnacentral:rRNA from 1 species